rnacentral:rRNA from 1 species
UACAGAGGGUGCGAGCGUUAAUCGGAAUUACUGGGCGUAAAGCGUGCGUAGACGGUUAUUUAAGUCAGGCGUGAAAGCCCCGGGCUCAACCUGGGAACCGCGCUUGAGACUGGAGAACUAGAGUUCGGGAGAGGAUGGUGGAAUUCCCAGUGUAGAGGUGAAAUUCGUAGAUAUUGGGAAGAACACCGAUGGCGAAGGCAGCCAUCUGGACCGACACUGACGCUGAGGCGCGAAAGCGUGGGGAGCAAACAGG